AGAAUCAACGCUGGCGGCGUGCCUAACACAUGCAAGUCGAACGAGAAAGUGGAGCAAUCCAUGAGUAAAGUGGCGCACGGGUGAGUAACACGUGACUAACCUACCUUUUAGUGGGGGAUAACCUAGGGAAACCUGGGCUAAUACCGCAUAACACUUACGAGUCAAAGCAGCAAUGCGCUUGGAGAGGAGUUCGCGGCCGAUUAGCUAGUUGGCGGGGUAAUGGCCCACCAAGGCGAUGAUCGGUAU
rnacentral:rRNA from 1 species